rnacentral:lncRNA from 1 species
AAUCCAGAUGAUGAUAGUGUAAGUACAAGGGGGUAAUAUCAUCACAAAGAACAGCAUGGAUCAAAAACCAAGACUCCAUUCUGAAUAUUUCUCAUAAAGUUUUCAAACAAUUAAGAAAAUGGACUGUGUUCAUAUUAUAAAAAAAGCGAAAUGUUGUAUAAUUGCCAAUUAGACAAAAAAUGAAAUAAAACAAGUUAUAAGUUCAUGUGUCUGAAGAGCUUUUCUGAAUUUACCUUCUCCAGCAGAAUAUUUAAAAGCCAAGGAUGUAUAAGAACUAAUCAGUUGAAGGGCUAUCUAGAAUGACCCAAGACAAAAACAAUUUUAAGGGUAACUACAGUUUUUUAAUAAGCAUGGAUCCAUAACAUGAAGUAAGCCAUAAGAGGUACUGUGAUAAAAAAAUGUGAAACGUUCAAAAGAUAAAAAAAACUCACUUUUAUAAGAUUUACUUACACUAAAUACAAAUGGAAUAAUUUUUAUUUUCUUCUGUAGAUUUCAACAACACUAAACAGUACCUACAAUUUGGAGGAGAAAGAAAAUAUUUCAUCACAAAACAGCAGCGCGAAUGAAUUUGUGGAGCCAAUGAUUCCUAAAAGGAAAUCUCGAACAAACAAUAAUAGUGAAAUAAGUUCAUCCACAGAAGGCGCCACUAAGAAGAGAAGACUUCUCACUGGGAGUAACAGCUUUUUUAAACCUCUAUAGUUGUAAAUUUAUAAACAAUGCUUCAUAGAUAAGGGUUGUUGGUGAUAGAUUUAUUUUUUCAGAUAGUCAGUAGUGUCCAGUUCAAUGUUAGAUUCAGAUGCUGGACUGAAUGACUGAAAUAAACGAGAAAAGACAUUAAUGUUAUCCUUAACAGUUUAUGAAAUUCAGAAGAAUAUUUUAAUCAACGAACAAUGGACAAUAUAUUACUACCAUAUGACUGUCAGUCAGUCAGGCAUAACAAAUAGACUAGAAACUAUUAAAAAUCUGUAAUCACUAAGG